AUUGAACGCUGGCGGCAGGCCUAACACAUGCAAGUCGAACGAGUGGCGGACGGGUGAGUAAUGUCUGGGAAACUGCCUGAUGGAGGGGGAUAACUACUGGAAACGGUAGCUAAUACCGCAUACCAUCAGAUGUGCCCAGAUGGGAGUAGCUUGUGGGGGGGGUAACGGCUCACCAAGGCGACGCUCCCUAGCUGGUCUGAGAGGAUGACCAGCCACACUGGAACUGAGAGACGGUCCAGACUCCUACGGGAGGCAGCAGUGGGGAAUAGUGCACAAUGGGCGAAAGCCUGAUGCAGCCAUGCAGCGUGUGUGAAGAAGGCGUGCGGGUUGUAAAGUACUUUCAGCGGGGAGGCGUUACCCGCAGAAGAAGCACCGGCUAACUCCGUGCCAGCAGCCGCGGUAAUUC
rnacentral:rRNA from 1 species